rnacentral:misc_RNA from 1 species
GAUGAAGAACGUAGCGAAAUGCGAUAAGUAAUGUGAAUUGCAGAAUUCAGUGAAUCAUCGAAUCUUUGAACGCACCUUGCGCUCCUUGGUAUUCCGAGGAGCAUGCCUGUUUGAGUGUCAUGAAAUUCUCAACCUUUUCAGCUUUCUUUGUUGAUCAGGCUUGGAUGUGGGAGUAUGCGGGCUUCUCAGAAGUCGGCUCUCCUGAAAUGCAUUAGCGGGACCUUUGUUGCCUGGCUUUGGUGUGAUAAUUAUCUACGCCAUUGUAGUCAAGGAGCUUAAAAUGAGGUUUCAGCUUCUAACCGUCUCCCCUGAGACAACUUUUUGACAAUUUGACCUCAAAUCAGGUAGGACUACCCGCUGAACUUAAGCAUAUCAAUAAGCGGAGGA